CGUUCAUACUCAGUGUCUUCCCAUGAAAUUCGUUGCCGUGAAAAGCGAAUCUGGUAUUGCUAUAUCUAAGAUGCGUAGCAGGGUACAUAUAUGCAUGAGCCGUGAAACAAACGCCUGCCCUAAUAUUUUAUAGUGUUAAACACCGAGUCAGUUCCCUCAAUGGGUGAAUGAGUUAUCGAUUUUAUCAGUAAAAAUGAGUUUAUAUUUCAUGCCGCAGUGUUUACAAUAUGCCUGAAUAAGAUAAUUUAGAAAUCUUAUGACAUGUUGUUUACACAAUGAUCUCGCUUAACGCUUAAAAGAGCUUUAUUCGCAUGACCUAUUUACAGGUAUUCAGAGUAACUAAUAUUAAUAAUUAACUAAUCUACCAAGUAUAACAAUACUAGCUAUUUACAAAUUAGUAGUUUCAACUAAUAUUUACAAGUUUAGAGUAGUUUCAAUUUAGGCUAGUAUAGCAAGACAGUGUAUUUAUGAAAGGCAGGACCAUUAGUCAGUAGGUCUUGUUAUCCGAUAUAGUAUCAUAUCAUUAAUUCAAUUAUGAAAUUUAUAGUCAUUCAUAAGACAUAAAUAUUAAAAUUAAAUAUUUACAAAAAAAUAUCAAUACUGUAUUUAUCUAUAUAUUUUAAUGUACAGUUAAAUAAGACCCGAUAUAAUAAAAAGUGUCCCGUAAUCCACAGUAUUUGUACGAUAGUUAUGAAUAAAAAAUGAUUUUGCAUUCCUCAAAUUCUAAGUACCCUAAGCUAUGUGGACCCUAUCAGAUAGAUACUGCGGUAGUCGGUGAUGGCAAACUUGACAUGUAUAUUCUAGCGAGUCUUAUUGAUACCACAUAGAAACAUUUUAGAUCACUGUUAUUCAGACAGGAGUUGUUUCAAUAAAUGUAUCGUUUUCGCUAAUAGAUGAUUCCCUUAUUACGUUUUCGUAGCGCUUUGCAUUGUGGUUAUAGUGCAUGGUAUCACUGAUAAAGAUAGCGGCCUCGAAUGAAAAUAUUGAAUGUUUUCGCGAAUAUUUUGCUGUUGGCUAUCGUGCACCUAGCUUUUUUAAAAGUUCUUGCACGGGUCGGGACAAAAAAUAAGCCAUCUUGGAUAUCAGUGAUACCAUUAUAACCAUAAUGCAAAGCGCUACGAAAACGUAAUAAGGGGAAUCAUCUGUUGCAGCUCGUUAUUUUAUCUAUGUGCCCAUCCCAUUUGAGAUCAUCCGUUAUCAAUAACCCGAGAAUUGUUGCUUUCCCUACUCGAUCAAUGUUUGUUUCGCUAACAGAAAUGGGGGGGAGGGGGGAUCGGACUGAUUUCGUCAGAAUUCUAUGUGACCACGCGACCUCCUUGUAUUUUGAUGGAUUAAAUUCAAAUUUGUUACGUCGGAACUUUACAUUGGCUUUACGCAACUUUUCCUUGUCCGAUUAACUUUAUUACGUAGCUCUCUAUAUAAUGAUUGAUUAUUUUGUGCAAGGGCCUUUAGUCUUUUUCUUAAUUAAUCAGAGUUUCAAGUUGCUAUUAAUCCAAGGACGGUCAAUACUGUGAACUUUCAUCGCUUUUAGUGGUGCUAAGGUAUUUAUUAAGCUGUCGUUUAUAAUAUUCGUAAAAUUACUUAAAUUUUGUUCACAGAACUGGUUUGGGGAGACAACAUGUCAACAAGGUCCCAUGGGACUUCACACUCAAUUCUUCCAAGGCGGCGUUCACUACUUAACAAAUAGAUAAGAUUUUGCCGUUGUCUGUUCAGUUAUACAGGGUGUCUAAAAAAAACCCAAAAUCAUUGAAAUAACGUAUUGUUCGAAUUUCAAUGCCGUA